rfam:Triticum aestivum genome assembly, contig: Triticum_aestivum_CS42_TGACv1_scaffold_146726_2BS
AAAUGCCAUUUGUUAUCUGACGCCUGGUUUUUUAGGAUUCCGUGUCUCAAAACAUGGCAGCAAAUGAGGGGGGACGAAACUUUGCAGCACUGGCUGCUCAUAAUGUGCCUCUAGUGACUAUAUGCCCUUUUGUAUUA